rnacentral:rRNA from 1 species
CAGUCGCCGCGGUAAUACGUAGGGUGCAAGCGUUAAUCGGAAUUACUGGGCGUAAAGCGUGCGCAGGCGGUUUGUUAAGACAGAUGUGAAAUCCCCGGGCUCAACCUGGGAACUGCAUUUGUGACUGGCAAGCUAGAGUGUGGCAGAGGGGGGUGGAAUUCCGCGUGUAGCAGUGAAAUGCGUAGAUAUGCGGAGGAACACCGAUGGCGAAGGCAGCCCCCUGGGCCAACACUGACGCUGAAGCACGAAAGCGUGGGGAGCAAACAGGAUUAGAUACCCCAGUAGUCCCUGUCUCUUAUAC